rnacentral:rRNA from 1 species
GAUGAACGCUGGCGGUGUGCCUAAUACAUGCAAGUCGAGCGGUAACACUUCGGGUGACGAGCGGCGGACGGCAGAGUAACGCGUAGGAACGUACCCCAAACAGAGGGAUAAGCACCGGAAACGGUGUCUAAUACCGCAUAAUAUCUUCGGAUUAAAGCUACGGCGGUUUGGGAGCGGCCUGCGUAUGAUUAGCUAGUUGGUGAGGUAAUUGCUCACCAAGGCGACGAUCAUUAGCUGGUCUGAGAGGAUGAUCAGCCUGACUGGAACUGAGAACGGUCCAGACUCCUACGGGAGGCAGCAGUAGGGAAUUUUCCGCAAUGGGCGAAAGCCUGACGGAGCAACACCGCGUGCAGGAGGAAGGCCUUCGGGUUGUAAACUGCUUUUAUCUGUGACGAUUAUGACGGUAGCAGAAGAAUAAGGAUCGGCUAAUUCCGUGCCAGCAGCCGCCGUAAAAC